GACGAACGCUGGCGGCGUGCUUAACACAUGCAAGUCGAACGGAAAGGCCCUGCUUUUGUGGGGUGCUCGAGUGGCGAACGGGUGAGUAACACGUGAGUAACCUGCCCUUGACUUUGGGAUAACUUCAGGAAACUGGGGCUAAUACCGGAUAGGAGCUCCUGCUGCAUGGUGGGGGUUGGAAAGUUUCGGCGGUUGGGGAUGGACUCGCGGCUUAUCAGCUUGUUGGUGGGGUAGUGGCUUACCAAGGCUUUGACGGGUAGCCGGCCUGAGAGGGUGACCGGCCACAUUGGGACGGAGUGACGGCCCAGACUACUACGGGAGGCAGGAGGGGGGAAUAUUGCACAAUGGGCGGAAGCAUGAUGCAGCAACGCCGCGUGCGGGAGGACGGACUUCGGGUUGUAAACCGCUUUCGCCUGUGACGAAGCGUGAGUGACGGUAAUGGGUAAAGAAGCACCGGCUAACUACGU
rnacentral:rRNA from 1 species